rnacentral:rRNA from 1 species
CCUACGGGAGGCAGCAGUGGGGAAUAUUGGACAAUGGGCGAAAGCCUGAUCCAGCCAUGCCGCGUGUGUGAAGAAGGCCUUCGGGUUGUAAAGCACUUUCAGUGGGGAAGAAAGCCUUGGGGCUAAUACCCUCGAGGAAGGACAUCACCCACAGAAGAAGCACCGGCUAACUCCGUGCCAGCAGCCGCGGUAAUACGGAGGGUGCGAGCGUUAAUCGGAAUUACUGGGCGUAAAGCGCGCGUAGGCGGUCUGAUAAGCCGGUUGUGAAAGCCCCGGGCUCAACCUGGGAACGGCAUCCGGAACUGUCAGGCUAGAGUGCAGGAGAGGAAGGUAGAAUUCCCGGUGUAGCGGUGAAAUGCGUAGAGAUCGGGAGGAAUACCAGUGGCGAAGGCGGCCUUCUGGACUGACACUGACGCUGAGGUGCGAAAGCGUGGGUAGCAAACAGGAUUAGAUACCGGGAGUC